UGAGGAAUAUUGGUCAAUGGACGCAAGUCUGAACCAGCCAAGUAGCGUGCAGGAUGACGGCCCUUUGUGUUGUAAAUUGCUUUUAUAUGGGGAUAAAGUGGGGAACGUGUUCCCUUUUGCAGGUACCAUAUGAAUAAGGACCGGCUAAUUCCGUGCCAGCAGCCGCGGUAAUACGGAAGGUUCGGGCGUUAUCCGGAUUUAUUGGGUUUAAAGGGAGCGUAGGCCGUUUGGUAAGCGUGUUGUGAAAUGUAGGAGCUCAACUUCUAGAUUGCAGCGCGAACUGUCAGACUUGAGUGCGCACAACGUAGGCGGAAUUCAUGGUGUGGCGGUGAAAUGCUUAGAUAUCAUGAAGAACUACGAUUGCGAAGGCAGCUCACGGGAGCGCAACUGACGCUGCAGCUCGAAGGUGCGGGUAUCGAACAGG
rnacentral:rRNA from 1 species